GACAUAGGUCGCAAACGUUAUCCGGAAUUAUUGGGCGUAAAGGGUGCGUAGGUGGUUCAGUAAGUUACUGGUGGGAAAUCGAGGCUCAACCUCGUGGAAGUCAGUAAUACUGUUGAACUUGAGUGCAGGAGAGGUUAACGGAACUUUAUGUGGAGCGGUAAAAUGCGUAGAUAUAUAAAAGAACAUCAAUAUGGCGAAGGCAGUUAACUAUUCUGUUACUGACAUUGAGGCAUGAAAGCGUGGGGAGCAAAACGG
rnacentral:rRNA from 1 species